rnacentral:rRNA from 1 species
UCGGUGACAGGUGGUGGCAUGGUUGUCGUCAGCUCGUGUCGUGAGAUGUGGUUAAGUCCCGCAACGAGCGCAACCCCUAUUGUUAGUUGCCAUCAUUCAGUUGGGCACUCUAGCGAGACUGCCGGUAAUAAACCGGAGGAAGGUGGGGAUGACGUCAAAUCAUCAUGCCCCUUAUGACCUGGGCUACACACGUGCUACAAUGGUUGGUACAACGAGUUGCGAGUCGGUGACGGCGAGCUAAUCUCUUAAAGCCAAUCUCAGUUCGGAUUGUAGGCUGCAACUCGCCUACAUGAAGUCGGAAUCGCUAGUAAUCGCGGAUCAGCACGCCGCGGUGAAUACGUUCCCGGGCCUU